rnacentral:rRNA from 1 species
UACGAAGGGUGCAAGCGUUACUCGGAAUUACUGGGCGUAAAGCGUGCGUAGGUGGUGAGUUAAGUCUGUCGUGAAAGCCCCGGGCUCAACCUGGGAAUGGCGAUGGAUACUGGCUCGCUAGAGUGCGGUAGAGGAGAGUGGAAUUCCCGGUGUAGCAGUGAAAUGCGUAGAGAUCGGCAGGGACACCCAGGGGGAAACCAGUCGACUGGGCAUCUACUGACGCUGAGGUGCGAGAGCGUGGGGAGCGAACCGG